UACGGAGGGGGCUAGCGUUGUUCGGAAUUACUGGGCGUAAAGCGCACGUAGGCGGCUUUGUAAGUUAGAGGUGAAAGCCCGGGGCUCAACUCCGGAAUUGCCUUUAAGACUGCAUCGCUAGAAUUGUGGAGAGGUAAGUGGAAUUCCGAGUGUAGAGGUGAAAUUCGUAGAUAUUCGGAAGAACACCAGUGGUGAAGGCGACUUACUGGACACAUAUUGACGCUGAGGUGCGAAAGCGUGGGGAGCAAACAGG
rnacentral:rRNA from 1 species